rnacentral:misc_RNA from 1 species
GCAAACUUGGUCAUUUAGAGGAAGUAAAAGUCAUAACAAGGUUUCCGUAGGUGAACCUGCGGAAGGAUCAUUUGCGUGGGGGUUGCAUGAGAAGCCGAUCCGUCAACCCGACAGCAAGGCUCAGUUCAGCUUUGCUGUUGUCACCCAAGCAUCGUGAACCGUGGCUCCGGCCCAAACUCUUUGUAAUGGAUGUGAAAACUGUAACAGUAAACAACUUUCAACAACGGAUCUCUUGGCUCUCGCAUCGAUGAAGAACGCAGC